rnacentral:rRNA from 1 species
AACGAACGCUGGCGGCAGGCCUAACACAUGCAAGUCGAACGCCCUAGCAAUAGGGAGUGGCAGACGGGUGAGUAACGCGUGGGAACGUGCCUUUCGGUUCGGAAUAACUCAGGGAAACUUGAGCUAUUACCGGAUACGCCCUUCGGGGGAAAGAUUUAUUGCCGAACGAUCGGCCCGCAUCCGAUUAGCUAGUUGGUGAGGUAAAGGCUCACCAAGGCGCCGAUCGGUACCUGGUCUGAGAGGAUGAUCAGCCACACUGGGACUGAGACACGGCCAAGACGACUACGGGAGGCAGCAGUGGGGAAUAUUGGACAAGGGGCGCAGGCCUGAUCCAGCCAUGCCGCGUGAGGGAUGAAGGCCCUAGGGUUGUAAAGCUCUUUCGCCGGGGACGAUAAUGACGGUACCUGGAUAAGAAGCCCCGGCUAACUUCGUGCCAGCCGCCGCGGUAA